ensembl:lncRNA
GUGGGGGGACUCUCCAGGGACACCAUGCGUCACAGAGCAGCGAAGAGGGGGGUGGUGAAGGCAGGCAUGGGCAGGUAGGAGAAUGUCACCCUGUCACUGACAUCAUAGGGCAGAAGUGGGGAAUCAAAAGAACAGAGGUCAAGGCAUGGUAAGGGUCAGGUGACUGCCACGCCCUCCUCCCCUCGGGGCUCCGGGGGAUCGGUGAGUUCCUUAAGUGGAUUUGCAAUGAGUUUCUGAAGAAAAGGUCAACUUCGAGGAUUUGCGUUACUCCUGAAAGGGCAGGGCUGCAGACACUCAGGCCAGCUUAGUCCACUGAGACCUGCAGCAACGCCUGCCUGUUCUUUGCAGUGAGCAGCCCUUCUUCGCUUAUAUAUGUGGGUCGGGAUCAGCUUGGGAUAUCAGUUCUAAGUGCUGAGCCAUGAAUACAUAAGCCUGGAAGGGUUAGCAUUCGAGCUGGG